AGAAGGCUGAUUCAAUUACGCCUGAGCACUUGGGGAGCAUUGCCUCAGACGCCUCCUGCAGCCCCAGUGCCCUUGGCGGUCCCGGUGUCGACCUGCCUUCUGUCUGAUUGGCCGUGCGGAGCCUGGCCUGAUGGCCGCUGGGUCCUGAUGGCUUGGGAAGUGAGAACUCCACCUCCCGGGCCUGGCUGGCCCCUGCUCUGUGGGUGCCAGCUUUUGAUUGGGAGAUCCCAGGAGCUUGGAGCUGUCCUCUGAGGUUUCUGGGACCGGGUUGAAGGGAAGGACUUUGACAGGAGAAUGGUAUGAGAUUCUUUUUCAUCUGAAGUCCACAGCCCUGGGGUCCUUGAAAGUGAACCUGAUCCUACUCGAACCAGAUUUUCACUAUAAACAAAAAGGCUCUGUGAUUCCUCCAAGGCACAGAAGGACAAGAGAUUCCAAUCAGAUGACCUCUAGCUUGAUUUCAAAUACAACCAUUCUACCAGGAAGCUAUUCUCUCAAAUCUGUGAAGAAGAUUCUGAAAGCUGAAAGGUGUUAGAUAUUGAAAGACAAUUCCCAAAAUAGUGAAAGAAAGAUUUCAUUAUUUUGUUACUUUUUUUUUUUUUUUUCCUUUUGGUAAUAAAGAAUUUGGUGGAGUUAGUUUCUGGCA
ensembl:lncRNA